rnacentral:rRNA from 1 species
CCUACGGGAGGCAGCAGUGGGGGAUAUUGCACAAUGGGGGGAACCCUGAUGCAGCGACGCCGCGUGGGUGAAGAAGCGCCUCGGCGCGUAAAGCCCUGUCAGCAGGGAAGAAAAUGACGGUACCUGUAGAAGAAGCCCCGGCUAACUACGUGCCAGCAGCCGCGGUAAUACGUAGGGGGCAAGCGUUAUCCGGAUGUACUGGGUGUAAAGGGGGCGCAGACGGCGAUGCAAGCCAGGAGUGAAAGCCCGGGGCCCAACCCCGGGACUGCUCUUGGAACUGCGUGGCUGGAGUGCAGGAGGGGCAGGCGGAAUUCCUGGUGUAGCGGUGAAAUGCGUAGAUAUCAGGAGGAAUACUCAUUGCGAAGGCGACCUGCUAGAACAUAACUGACGCUGAUGCGCGAAAGCGUGGGGAGCAAACAGGAUUAGAUACCCCUGUAGUC